GAUGAACGCUAGCGGCAGGCCUAACACAUGCAAGUCAAGGGGUAACUAGAGUGAUAGCAAUAUUACUUUGGCUUGACCGGCGCACGGGUGCGUAACACGUAUGCAACCUACCUUAUACUGGGGAAUAACUUCGAGAAAUCGGCGCUAAUACCCCGUAACAUUGCGAAGAGGCAUCUCUUAGCAAUUAAAGCUCCGGCGGUAUAAGAUGGGCAUGCGUCCAAUUAGCUAGUUGGUGAGGUAACGGCUCACCAAGGCUACGAUUGGUAGGGGUUCUGAGAGGAUGAUACCCCACACUGGUACUUAGACACCGACCAGACUCCUACGGGAGGCAGCAGUGAGGAAUAUUGCGCAAUGGACGAAAGUCUGACGCAGCCAUGCCGCGUGCAGGAUGACGGCCCUAUGGGUUGUAAACUGCUUUUGUACGGGAAUAAACCCUUCUACGUGUAGGAGGCUGAAGGUACCGUAAGAAUAAGCACCGGCUAACUCCGUGCCAGCCGCCGCGGUAAGAC
rnacentral:rRNA from 1 species